rnacentral:rRNA from 10 species
GUCUAUUGCCAUACCACCCUGAACAUGCUUGAUCUUGGCUGAUCUUGGAAGCUAAGCAGGGUUGAGCCUGAUUAGUACUUGAAUGCGAGAAGAAAUACACA